rnacentral:lncRNA from 1 species
CAAGCUGCAAAGCCAUCAGAUGGAGCCAUGUGAUCAGUGUGGACUCCAGCUGACCCCACAGCCACCUUCUGCCUCCCAUGCAUCUACUCAGGAAUUUCUGAACUUUCUUAAUGCCCAUUUGCUACAGUCCUUCACCUUGUUUCCAAAGUAAAGAAAUCUGCAUCUUGAGUUCAGAUCUUAUCCUCCUUGGAUAAGAAAAGAAAAAAAUGUGAUCUUGGCACCAUCUGACAGAAAGAUGAAUACAAUGGGACAAAUAAGAUACUUUCAUGGGAAGUUGGCAGCAUUGAACUCAUGUUUAAAAUCUGUGAUUCUCUAAGCCAUGGACAGAGCUGAAGUUAAUGAAGAUCUAUGGAGGAAAGACUUCUGCAGGUCUGCACAUAGAACACUGUGACUCUUUGUUCAGAGGCAAUGGUGACAAAGGACAGAAGGUAUGAGCAUUUCCCCAGCAGAGACCCACCCCCACCCCCGUUUAGGACAAUGCUGGUGAUGUCUGGAUGUCUUGGAGUUCUGGGGGCAGGAGUCGGGGCUGGACACCAUCUCUGGUCCUUCUCCUGUGCUGCCAGUUUGUUAACUGAUACCAGAAUCACCAUGAUGGACCUGUCGGUGGGGGGAUACUCCUCCCGCACACCCACUCUGAGAAAUCUCACCCAGAGACCUCUCAGAGCAUCCCACAGAGACCUCUGUCUGAGACGUCCCAUGCACACGCCUCACAGGUGUUCUUUAGGAUUUGAGUAUUCCCCCACUGACAGGUCCAUCAUGGUGAUUUUGGUAUCAGUUAACAAACUGGCAGCACAGGAGAAGGACCAGAGAUGGUGCCCGGCCCCAACUCCUGCCCCCAGAACUCCAAGACAUCCAGACAUCACCAGCAUUGUCCUAAAUGGGGGUGGGGGUGGGGUCUCUGCUGGGGAAAUGCUCAUACCUUCUGUCCUUUGUCACCAUUGCCUCUGA